GUGCCAGCCGCCGCGGUAAUACGUAGGCAGCAAGCGUUGUUCGGAGUUACUGGGCGUAAAGGGUGUGUAGGCGGUUCUUUAAGUUUGGUGUGAAAUCUCCCGGCUCAACUGGGAGGGUGCGCCGAAAACUGAAGGGCUAGAGUGCGGGAGAGGAGAGUGGAAUUCCUGGUGUAGCGGUGAAAUGCGUAGAUAUCAGGAGGAACACCGGUGGUGUAAACGGCUCUCUGGACCGUAACUGACGCUGAGACACGAAAGCGUGGGUAGCAAACAGGAUUAGAUACCCCUGUAGUCC
rnacentral:rRNA from 1 species